UCCCUUCGUCCCUUCUCUCUUCUUCUCUUCUCAUCUCCCUCUUUCAUAAAACCCUAACGCCUCCGCGAGCUUCUAUUUUCCGUACUCAACUCGGAUCUCUCAUCUCUCCCUUUCUUCUUCGCUCCACAGCCGCCAAAACCCUAAGAUGCCCACCUCUUCUCUACAACUCUCUACCCGAAGUCACACCGACACUGAGCAUCUGUGCUUCGUUCACCGCUUCUCGUCGUUCCUGCAAGUUCAAACUUGAAGCCCCAAAUUCCCCUCCGAAACUCGCCUUCACUCCUCUCUGUCUUCGCACUCCUCCGAAUUCACCUUCGCAACUCGCCUUUGCAAUUUUCCUCUUCCCCCACAAUUUGAUAUCCCUAAGCUCAGAUUCUCUGAUACCCUUUUCGCCAAACCCCUAAAUCUCGAGUCUUCUCCUGCUGUCGUUGUUCACAACAAGACACCUCUAGGAAAAUGGAAUAGAUCCGAGCUCUCCUUGAGCUCGAAAGGUAGGAGGCCUCAAUGGCGAGGAACCACUCAACUCCCGAACACGAUCAAGCAGAUAAGUGUCAAUUUUUCACUUCUGUUUUGAUGUUCAUACUGUGGUGAUGCUUCAAAUGUCAGGUGGUGUCUGAAUUUUUGUGAGGUAAAAAACGAAAAUCUGCUCACUUGCUUGUGAUUCAAGGUUGGUGAUGAUGAUGUUUCUUGGUGCAUGCAUUUCUCUGAUUAGGGUUUUGGGUAGAGGGAAGGAGAUGAGCUAAUCUUGUCUCAAAUUUGGUGAGCGAGCACGAGUCAACCCGGUGAGUUAGAGGAACUCAGGUAGAUCCGAGUGAGUCACGUGUCAGUAGGCAUGUGAGGGGUUGAGUUGGGUGGGCUUGGUUUAGUUUUUUUUAUAAAUGGGCUGAAAAAAAGGUUGGGCCUCUUGGUGUUUUCAAAAGUGGGCUAGCUUUGUUUGAACUGGAAUGGGCUAGCUUUGAAAUUAAAUUGGGUGUCUGGGUUGUUUUUUAAAAGGGUUGGGGGUAUUUUGAAAUAGGUGAGGCCCAAUUUUAGUUUGAAACAAAUGAGCCUGGGGUCUUCUUGAAAAAAAUGGAUCAUGGGCCUCCAUUUUAAAAUGUUUGGGCUUAGUUUCAAAAAAAGGGUACCGAGCCAGGGGUAUUUAAAAACCAAUGGGCUGAUUUAGAAAAACAUUGGAAUGAGGCCCAAGGGGAUUUUAAAAUCCAGUUGGGCUUUUGGGUUUGAAAGGAAGCUCGGGUACGGGUUAAAUGGGUUUGGGUUUGGUAGCCUGGACAUGGGGGAUUUGAUUUCAAGCUUGGAUUCGGAUUUGAGUUAGAUUAGAAAGUUUGAACCCGAAUUGGGAUUCGGGUUUAGGGCAACGAAUUUGGGGUUCAAGCUCAAGUUCAAAACCUAAGAGAGGACCCGGGGAAGGGGGUACCUAAAAUUACACAGAAUAUGAAAAGGGAAUUUGACAAUGUGAAAAAUGCACUACAAACUAGAGCAUAAAUUUUUAUUAUGGAAAGGGAUUUUUGAGUCGUAGUUUCAUUGUUCUUGUUGAAACUUGAAUCCUUAGCCUACCUUUCAUCCCAUGUUUUAAAGUUUACCUUAAGAUUGGAAUAUUGAUCAGAUUACUUAAUGAGACACUAAUUAUAAUUCAAGAUAGGGAGUUUAAAAUAAGCUCGAAAUAAGUAAGAAAGAAUCUCUAGGUGGUGAUACAGUGGAUGAGUUAUGGUUAUGAGACUAAAAAAAUUAAUAAAAAAAAAAGGUUUGCCAAUUGAUAUGAUUCUUUAAGCUAGUAAAGUUACAUUAGUGUCAAAGUACUGGUAAAAUUUGUCUCCUAUUUAACAAGCACAGAAAAUCAAGUAAAGAAAAGCAAGUUUGUGCAUUCCAUCCAUAUCCCUAUUGAAAUUGAGUUAUCUGAUUGCAUGCUUAUUUAUUUAAAUUUCAAGGAGAUUUUAAAACAUGAAGGAGACAAUCCAAAGAAGAUCCCUAUGGAGAAAGAGCAGUCUAACUGGGGCAAAUAUCAUGUCAGGUUUUAGAGAUCUGCUUAUUGAAGAAAAAUCUAACAAUAUGGCCAAGAUUAGUGGCAGAUAUAGUCAAUUGGGGCAAAUUCCGAGUCGAGUUUCAAUGAGGCCCAUUCAAGCGCCUUCUUAUUAUAUUAGAAUAUGAAAACAGGGUCAAGAUUAGUUAUAGAUCCAUUCAAUUAGAGAGAUUUAGUGAUUGAGUUUCAUUUGAGUCAAGCUAAUCACCUCUGUGGCUGGAUGAAUUAAGAAAAUCGGGUUAAGAUAAGUUAUAGAUCCAUUCAGUUGGGGCAGGUUUUGGCUUGAGUUUUAGGGGAACCAAUUUAGAGACAAUAUAGCCAAAAUCAGAGAUUGAGUUGUUGAUUAUAGAUGCAUUGGAAAAACGAAGUUCAUACAUCAUCAUGUAUUUCAUGCAUUACACAAAAAAUAAAAAAUAAAAAAUAAUAAAAAGAUAAAAUAAAAAAUGCAUACAUUUCGUAUCAUGUAACAUGCAUACAUAUCCCCAUUUUCUGGUAUCAUAUCAAACAGCAUGCAUGCACCCUUGCAUUCUAGCAUCACCGAUAACAACAUUCAUGCUUCAUAUGGCAUCAUUCAGUCAUACUUGUUUUGCCGUACAUCUCUUUUCAUCAUUGUCCAAGUAACCCUUGUUUCACUAAUGUUUGAAUAUUGGGGCAAAUGACCCAAGUCUAAGUCAAGUCAUUGUUGUGUGCUUCAGCGCUCGAGUUCUUAAAUCCAGUGCAAGUCAUUCUCGUGUACUUCGGCGCUCAAGUCUUCAAACUUGGUGCAAGUUAUUAUUCUUGUGCUUCGGUGCUUGGGUUCUUACACCCAGUGCAAGUCAUUCUCGUGUGCUUCGGCACUUGAGUUCUUAAACCUAGUGCAAGUUAUUCGUAUGUACUUCGACGCUCAGUGUAAUGACCUGCUUAUAUAUAAUAUAAUAAAACAUAAUAAAUAAAAUAGUCAACCCGAACCCGUAGGUAACGGGGAUGUCUAUCAUACACAGCGGAACUUAGGCAGCUGUAAAUGUAAAUCAUCAUUCUCAUAACCACAAAAUACAUAAUACCUGAGUCAACUAUAAUCCAAAACACUGUAUUUAUAUACAAUCUCCCCAAAAAUCCAAAAAUAGAUUAAAAUCUAGGAACCUAGAACGUAAGUUUCCUAUUUUUAGAUCAAAACUUAUCCUCUCAAUGGCGGUGUCGAUCUGCCGGUCUUUCUGAAUUUCCUGAAAAUUGUUUAAUGUUCGGGGGUGAGACAUUUCUCAGUAAGGAAAAAUAAACUAAAUACAACUAUAUGAUAACAUGAAUAUUUGAUACAAUUAUACAUAUACAGUACAUUUCAUAUACCUGAAAAUAUUCAUCAUAACAUAUUGAAUAAUCAUAACUUUCAUAAUUUCUAAUAAUUCAUACUGAUCAUGAAAUGUUCGAUAUAACUGAUAAUAUUGAAAUUUACCCAAGAUGUAGCUAGCCGAUGUCAUGUAUUACAUCUAUGACGGGUUGUGCAAUCUGAAGACGGGGCUCGACAAUGGCUGGCUGACCACUGCCCAGUCAAAAAUGUCUGUAAGUACGAUGGACCCGCCACACCUUGGUCCGGACUAUCAGGUGGAUGUUUACAACUCUACACUGAAAGCCACAUCGACUAUCCGUCUCUCACCCCCUUGUGGGGCGGUUAGCACAAGUCUGAACAUAAUAUCCGAUCUGUAUAGCUACGGUAUCAUGCUCUUGUAACUGAACUGAACUAUCAUUCAUAUUCUGAUAAUAUAUAAUACAUGAUAAUAUACAAUUUAAUAUAAAUAGAUUGAUGACAUUUUCUAUAAUAACAUAACACAUACGACCUUCUGCCGAUUAUUUUUAUAUUUGUGACCUUGAGCCAAAAUCAAACAUAUACAUACGACCUUGCGCCGAAUAUUUCAUAAAUAUCAUUCUAAAUAAAUAAAUCAUUUAUCAUGUAUUUUGAAACUGUAAUGUACUACAUUAUUGCAUAAUUUCUGAAAACAUAUUUCAUUCAUAAAAUUGUCAUAUUAUAAUACUUUCCACGUAAAAUAAUAUUCAUGCCAUACAUUAUAUUUUAAAAUCAUAAUUUCUGGCAUUUCAUACAUAUAUAUACAUUUCAACAUAAUAGCAGUAUUUUUCCAAAUAUGCAUUUUUACCAAUCUUCUCAUAUAUAUUAUACAUACUUUUUGAAAAUUAAUUUGCUGAUAAAUAAUAAUGAUUUUCAUGGAAAAUAACUGUUUUAGUUUAUUCUCUUACCUGAUUUCUGAGAAGAAACCCCCUAUAAUACCCUCGUCCUGCACCCGCAGGAUUCCUUUUUUAACACCUUAAAAUCGACAACUCUUAUAACUGAACUUUAGUGUUUCUUUGUGUAUAUCAUUUCCUAUAAUUGUGGAAAGACCAAAUAUUGAAUAAAAGACCUUACCUUAAUCCAGAGACAAAUUUCAACUCGAUCCCACAAACAAUUUAUUCCAGUAGAUUUGGAGAGAACUUCUCCAGGAGCGUCGUGGUGGUCUCAUAUCGUCGAUUUGGUGAACGUUGGAGCUGAAAUCGAAGAGAGAGAGAGAGAGAGAGAGAGAGAGAGAGAGAGAGAGAGAGAAUUAUUUUGAUUUUCUGCGUAAAAUUCAAGGUUUUGGGCUAUUUAUACUAUGAGCCUCAUUGAUGAGUCACGUCACCUUGUCGACGAAGUCAAAAGAAAAUUCGUCGAUAAGCUCUCUCAUUCGUUGACGAAAUUCAGAGUUGUCCAAAACAACCUCUCGGUAUUUUCUCAUCGACGAGCCUAUAUUGGCACGUCGUCAACGAAGUCUGCUGCGCCCUCUUUUCUAUUCCCAUUUUCCUCUCUUUCUCUUUAUUAUUUAAAUACCAUUAUUUUUUCGAGUCAUUACACUCAGGUUCUUAAACUUGGUGCAAGUCAUUAUUGUGUGCUUUGGUACUUGGGUUCUCAAACCCAGUGCAAGUUAUUCUCGUGUAUUUCGGCGCUCAGGUCCUCAAACCUGGUGCAAGUCAUUAUUCAUGUGCUUCAGAGCUUGGGUUCUCACACUGUGUGCAAGUCAUUCUCAUGUUCUUCGGCGCUCGGAUUAUCAAACCCAGUGCAAGUCAUUCUCGUGUACUUUGGCGCUCACGUCCUCAAACUUGGUGCAAGUCAUUAUUCAUGUGCUUCAGCGCUUGGGUUCUUAAACCCAGUGCAAGUCAUUCUCAUAUACUUAGGCGCUCAGGUUCUCAAACCCAGUGCAAGUCAUUCUUGUGUACUUUGGCGCUUGGGUCCUCAAACCCGGUGUAAGUCAUUUUCUUGUACUUAUGCGCUCGAGUUCUCAAACCCAGUGCAAGUUAUUCCCAUGUACUUCGGCAUUCGGGUCCUCAAACCCGAUGUAAGUCAUUCUAUUGAACUUUGGCGCUCGAGUUCUCAAACCUAGUGCAAGUUAUUUUCAUGUACUUCAGCAUUCAGGUUCUUAAACCUGGUGCAAGUCAUUCUCAUGUGCUUCGGCGCUCGGGUUCUAAAAUCCAAUGCAAGUUAUUCUCAUCUACUUCGGCGCUCAAGUUCUCAAACCUAGUGUAAGUCAUUAUUGUGUGCUUCGGCACUUGGGCUCUCAAACCCAAUGCAAGUUAUUCUCAUGUAUUUCGGCAUUCAGGUUCUUAAACCUGGUGCAAGUCAUUCUCAUGUGUUUCGGUGCUUGGAUUCUCAAACUCAGUGCAAGUUAUUCUCGUCUACUUCGGCGCUCAGGUUCUCAAACCUAGUGCAAGUCAUUAUUAUGUGCUUCGGCACAAUAGUUCUCAAAUUCAGUGCAAGUUAUUCUCAUGUACUUUGGCGCUCGGGUUCUUAAACCUAGUGCAAGUUAUUCUCAUGUAUUUCGGCGCUCAAGUUCUCAAACCUGAUGCAAGUUAUUAUUUAUAUGCUUCGGCGCUUGGGUUCUCAUACCUAGUGCAAGUCAUUCUCGUGUGCUUCGGCGCUUGGGUUUUCAAACCCAGCGCAAGUUGUUCUUAUGUACUUCGGCGCUCAGGUUCUCAAACCUAGUGCAAGUCAUUAUUGUGUGCUUCGAAACUUGGGUUGUCAAAUCCAGUGCAAGUUAUUCUCAUGUACUUUGGCACUCGGGUUCUCACACCUGGUGCAAGUCAUCAUCAUAUACCUCGGCACUCGGGUUCUCACACCUAGUGCAAGUCAUUAUCAUAUAUUUCAGCACUCGGGUUCUCACAUCUGGUGCAAGUCAUCAUCAUAUAUUUCGGCAUUUGAGUUCUCAAAUCCGAUGCAAGUCAUCCUCUUCAGUUUCUAUUGACUCUUUCAAAAAUAUCAGUUGGAUUACCUUGUUCAUUCAAGAAGUCAUUUUCCAGAGGAUCGCGCUGAACAUUCUUAGAUUGCCUUGUUAUCCAUGAUUGGUAGAAGUGAACAGUACUUGAUUGAAAAGCCCUAGGCAGUUGUGUGGUCUGACUAAAAUAAGUGUCAUUUAUCUUUAUAAGCUUGUUGCUAAAGGUAACGGAGAAGAGCUCCUACUGUUACCUUGAAGCAAUGAAGCCUAUAUAGAGGGACAGCUGUAAACACCAUAUUUUUGCCCGGGCAAAAUAAGAUUAUUAUUAUUAUUAUUAUUAUUAUUAUUAUUAUUAUUAUUUUAACUAUUUCUAUUAUUAGUAUUAUCAUUGUUUUUUAAUAUUACAUUAUUAUUAUUAUUACAAAAAAGGUGCAAAAUAAAAAUAAAAAAGGGGGCGGCACAUGUUAGGAUUUUGAAUUUUUUUUUAAUAAAAGGAGAGGGGGGCUCACACACAAAGAGGGGCGGAGGCUCACCAAAGAAAAAAAAAAAACUUUCUCACCAAAGGAAAAAAAAACCUAUCUUCCUCCUUGCUCUCCCUCCUCUCUCCAUUCUCUCUCAUCUCUCUGGCAGACGACAACCCUAGUCGCUCUCAUCUCUCUUCCAUCUCCCAAGGCCGCACAGCAAACUCCAGCCACCGUCCAGCCAUCUCCAUAUUACCCGUCAACUUCCCAGCUGCACGACCAUCACCUUUGGCUUCCCACUGUUCACGCAUGACCAAAUCACGUCCGUCAAGCCUCUGCAACUCCGAAUCAGUCUCUCCGGUGGUGAUCCUAGGCGUUCACGACACCCAUCUCCGGCAAACCUCCACGAGACACCAACACGCCCUGCAGAUCCAGUUAUGCCAGCAAAGUAUAGUCACCCUCCUCCGGCCACCACAACAACUCCACAGCCAGACUCGAGCCCCUUUCUUCCUUCUCCUGCAUCGCCCCCCAUCUCUCUCGCUCUCAUGCCAGCAGCCCACGAGGAAGCUCAAGGCAGCCCCAACAACUCUUCUCCACCAUCGUCGAGCUCAUCUUGUGUCCCCACGACGCCCCCUGCUUAGCCUCCAACCACCGUCGUCAUCUCCAUCUGCUGUUGGACCUCCGACGAUCCAUACUCAGUCCCUGCAACCCCUUGGUUGAUUGACAGUUCAAGUGCUGAAUCGUUGGACCAAAUAAGGGGAUAUUGUUUGGAGAAGGCGGGCUCUAGCCUAACUAAAGGAGUGUUGUAAUUGCUAUUGUUUCGCCUGGUAAAGGAACAGUGAUAGUGAAUCUCUUGGUGGUUUUGCCAAGAGUGAGGACGUAACAAAAUAGAUUCAUUGUGACAACUCAAAUUUGGAGACUCGCCAGUUCAAUUUAUAAAUCUGUACCCACUAGAUGAAAUUCCUCCUGAACCUCCUCUAGACAUACUGUGAUGUUUUUCUUUUCUUUAUUUCAUUUUGUUUUAUUUUUAGUUUAUUUUUAGGUACAUUUUCCCUUAAUUUCAGUUUUUCUUUCCCCUUACUUCUCUACCUAGGUACUUCUCUACUUCCCUCAUUAUUAUUCUUUCGUUUCUC